rnacentral:rRNA from 1 species
UACGUAGGUGGCAAGCGUUGUCCGGAAUUAUUGGGCGUAAAGGGAGCGCAGGUGGGAAUGUAAGUCAGUCUUAAAAGUGCGGGGCUCAACCCCGUGAUGGGACAGAAACUACAUUUCUUGAGUGCAGGAGAGGAAAGUGGAAUUCCUAGUGUAGCGGUGAAAUGCGUAGAUAUUAGGAGGAACACCAGUGGCGAAGGCGACUUUCUGGACUGUAACUGACACUGAGGCUCGAAAGCUAGGGGAGCGAACGGG